UCGGGGACAAAGUGACAGGUGGUGCAUGGUUGUCGUCAGCUCGUGUCGUGAGAUGUUGGGUUAAGUCCCGCAACGAGCGCAACCCUUGAUUUUAGUUGCCAGCAUUUAGUUGGGCACUCUAAAGUGACUGCCGGUGCAAGCCGGAGGAAGGUGGGGAUGACGUCAAAUCAUCAUGCCCCUUAUGACCUGGGCUACACACGUGCUACAAUGGAUAGUACAAAGGGUCGCGAAGCCGCGAGGUGGAGCUAAUCCCAUAAAACUAUUCUCAGUUCGGAUUGUAGGCUGCAACUCGCCUACAUGAAGCCGGAAUCGCUAGUAAUCGUGGAUCAGCAUGCCACGGUGAAUACGUUCCCGGGCCUUGUACACACCGCCCGUCACACCACGAGAGUUUGUAACACCCGAAGUCGGUAGGGUAACCUUUAUGGAGCCAGCCGCCGAAGGUGGGACAGAUAAUUGGGGUGAAGUCGUAACAAGGUAGCCGUAUCGGAAGGUGCGGCUGGAUCACCUCCUUU
rnacentral:rRNA from 1 species